CAUCUUGAACCUCACAAAAUUUCAGAUCAUAAUAAUGUCUAAUUAUGUCGCUAUGACGAUGACGUAAACAAGAAAAUGCAUAGCAAAAGGAUUUUCUGUUUUCACGAAGUGACGGCCAAGUACGCGCUUAACAGCCGUCAAUUCGUGAAAACAUCGUUUGCUCUUUUCCUGCUUUUAAUAUUUUCACGAAGUGACGGUAGUGAAAAUUUCGCAGUUUGGAACAGUCACAGACCAUGAAAAGUUUCAGAUGCAGUAGAUACAAUUUGCUCUUAUAUGAAGGAAGCACUGGGAAAGUACAUCUACUUUUCAAGAAUGCCACAGGCCAGACACAAAUCCAGAUUGGAUACAGGGACCGACAUGCUGGUAAGAUGGGUCCUUGAUAAUUCACUGAACACAGAGCUGCAGAUGUGACUCGGCAUAGUGACCUAAGAGUGGGAGCGGUAUGGAACCGUUGAAGCAAUUCACCGAACACAGUCAGAGCUGCAUGUGUGACUUGGCAUGGUGACCCUUAAAGUCUCCUGACGGCUCCGAUUGCGAUUCUGAUGAUGACCCAUUGUCUAUGCUUGUGAGCGAGUCAAAAGUCUAGAUCAAGGAUCUUCUCUGCUUCAACCACUAUCGCUUGGAUGACAUUAUGUGUGAAGAAACUUGAAGGACUUGUGUUGAAGGGCAUGCUUGAGAAACUAGAACCAAUUACAUUGAUAGUUUUGGCAAUGCUUCAAUGUUUCAAUACCUCAAUCUCUCUUUUAUACUGUUUGAUUUUAAACAUUUUGAAUAU